rfam:Equus caballus chromosome 10, whole genome shotgun sequence.
AGCCCUGCACAGGGGCAGAGUGGCAGCAGUGAGGCUGACCCGAGGCGCGAUUAUUGCUAAUUGAAAGCUUUUCCCAAAGGGCGAGGCUUCUUUUGUCAAUUCACAUAAAGGUUCCGUAUAGAGAAGAGAGGCCUGACUCUCCUGUUGUUGCUUCAACUUCUAAAGGCCAGUCAUGGC